rnacentral:rRNA from 1 species
UACAGAGGUGGCAAGCGUUGUUCGGAAUUACUGGGCGUAAAGGGUUCGUAGGUGGCCACUUAAGUCAGACGUGAAAUCCCUCAGCUUAACUGGGGAACUGCGUCUGAUACUGAGUGGCUUGAGUGCAGGAGAGGAAUGCGGAAUUCCAGGUGUAGCGGUGAAAUGCGUAGAUAUCUGGAGGAACACCGGUGGCGAAGGCGGCAUUCUGGACUGUAACUGACACUGAGGAACGAAAGCCAGGGGAGCAAACGGG